rnacentral:rRNA from 1 species
UCCUACGGGUGGCUGCAGUGGGGAAUCUUAGACAAUGGGCGCAAGCCUGAUCUAGCCAUGCCGCGUGAGCGAUGAAGGCCUUAGGGUUGUAAAGCUCUUUCAGCGAGGAAGAUAAUGACUGUACUCGCAGAAGAAGCCCCGGCUAACUCCGUGCCAGCAGCCGCGGUAAUACGGAGGGGGCUAGCGUUGUUCGGAAUUACUGGGCGUAAAGCGCACGUAGGCGGACUGGAAAGUCAGGGGUGAAAUCCCGGGGCUCAACCCCGGAACUGCCUUUGAAACUCCCAGUCUUGAGGUCGAGAGAGGUGAGUGGAAUUCCGAGUGUAGAGGUGAAAUUCGUAGAUAUUCGGAGGAACACCAGUGGCGAAGGCGGCUCACUGGCUCGAUACUGACGCUGAGGUGCGAAAGCGUGGGGAGCAAACAGGAUUAGAUACCCUUGUAGUCCC